AUGUGCAUUCAUUUAUAUUGUGUGUCAUUAUGUAAGGGGAACAUUUCCCGGACCAUUAGGAACAAGUUUUAUAUGAUUCGGUUGUCGGUUAGUGAAUGAACGGAUUGUUUCGUGUUAGUGUAGGAAAUUUUAUAAGUAUAUGUGUAUAGGAAUCCAAAGGGCACGUGGGUUGAAUCAUGGAUUGUCUAUACUAUGUAAAGUUGUGAAUGUGACAUUCCGGCAUAAACCUACAUGUAAAAGAAGCUUGUGUAUAUAUUCGUGAUUAAUUGAUUGUGCGUAGGAAGGAACAUUGGCAUGUAUGAAGGUACGCAUGUAUAUAUAUAAGUGUAUAUAUAUAUGUAUGUAUGUAUGAUAAUAAGUACGUAAGUGUGAAUGUAUGUGUGAAUGAAUGUUCAAUGCUUAAGACAUAUGCAUGAACGUUAUCAAAGUGUUCGAGUAUUUAUGGUUACUAAUGAUGUGCGUUGAGUUGGAAUGUAAUGUAGUUAUGGGAUCGUUGGCUUCAUGAAGAAAUGGAGCUGGAUUUGGAUAAGAGUAUUAAGAAAGUGCUUGGACAAUUCCACGACUACUUUAUAGAAUGCUCUACGAAACUCUAUUAUAUAAUUUAAUGUUGUAUGGUAUGUUAAUGACUAAUGGUUUGGUUGUACGUGGUGUCCACAGGUAUCGCUUGGGUUUUCUCUACAUUUAUUGAAGUGAAGCGGACUUAGUUCGAGUUGAGAGCAAGGAUUGUACGGGGUAGAAUGGUCACAUAGUGUAACUCAUAUAGGUUUUGAAGUAUUAAUGUUAUAAAACAUUAUAAAUCCGUUUUAAUGAAUAUAUGGUAUUUCGCAUUUGAACCUUCAUGUGUUUGAUAUGUCUAUUAAAGAACGAAAUUUUUGGGCUCUUGUUUUCCGCUGCGUCGUAUUUUAAGUUAUUACACGUUAGUCUUACAGGGAAUUGUUCUUAUUACGAACGGGUCAUGCC
rnacentral:lncRNA from 1 species